rnacentral:lncRNA from 1 species
ACUACCACCAGUCAUGGCACCCUACAGCCGGGCCUGCUUGUGCUUUCAACUCGUGCUCGAUAGUUUGUCAAUUUAUUUUUGGCAACACUGGUGAAACACUUUCAGUUUCAUACUGUGGGCAGUCUCUUCCGUUCCGUCUUAUUUACGCUACCAAACCGAGUGACUGUACUACACAAAUCUUUACAACAUGCAUAUGAGUAAAGUAUUACCGGUAUUUAUAUUCCUACUGAUGGGUUAUUCAACAGGAAGCAACGAUGAGUGGGUUGACUACAUAGACAUGCUGAGAUACGAUUCGGUAUCUCAAAGUAUGAAAAGAAAGGAUGACCCAUGUGCAAAGUGCUACGAAACCCACGGGUUGUGGGCCCCGAUUAUGAUUUUAAAGCAUGCACCGCUUGCUGACCUCUUCAAGAUCGGCAUGACUCUUCUACUAAUUAUUCUGGGACAUACAUUCAUCAGGGCCCUCCUCCGACGCCGGGGCAACCACAACCCUCCUCCUUUAGCUGUGCCCCAAGUUCAGGCUGUGGGUGAGGCUCAUGGAGAGCAUGUCGACCCUCAGGACCCCGAGCCCGGAGUAGAAGAGGCACCACAGUUCCUUCAGCCGAGAGUGGAGGAGAACGAUAAUUCUUCUGAGGGCCACUUACUCGGAACACAGAUAAGACCAGCAGCUAUGGGACCUGAAUUUGAAAACAACCUCCCAGCACAUGUAAGUGUAGCAAGGGUUUAUAAGGUCCUUACAAACGUAUAA